rnacentral:rRNA from 1 species
UACGUAGGGUGCAAGCGUUGUCCGGAAUUACUGGGCGUAAAGCGUGCGCAGGCGGUUUCUUAAGUCAGAUGUGAAAGCCCCGGGCUUAACCUGGGAACUGCGUUUGAAACUGGGAGACUUGAGUGUGGCAGGGGGGGGUGGAAUUCCACGUGUAGCAGUGAAAUGCGUAGAUAUGUGGAGGAACACCGAUGGCGAAGGCAGCCCCCUGGGUCAACACUGACGCUCAUGCACGAAAGCGUGGGGAGCAAACAGG